AGAACGCUUUGAUUGAGAAUGUUCUACAGUCAAUGAAGGGCAUUUCAGGGCUGGUUUAGCCGGAAGGGUUGCAUGAGUUGAUAGCGAAUGUUGAGACCGGAGUCGACGUUGAGGAGGAGAUGGAGAGAGUGAAGGAACAUGCUCUGCCUCCUGUUGUCUGUAGGAGUUAUUGGCUGCAAUGCUUUCACCAAGCCUAUAUGAAAAGCAGAAACAUAUACAAAAGAAAAAAUCAACAGUUAAGUGAUCUGAAAAGUGAAGAUGGUCGAGAAGAACAGGUAGAAGAAGAUCCACGAAGCGCACAGCCACAACACUACUGCCUGCAU